GUGGGGAAUAUUGGACAAUGGGCGAAAGCCUGAUCCAGCCAUGCCGCGUGUGUGAAGAAGGUCUUCGGAUUGUAAAGCACUUUAAGUUGGGAGGAAGGGCAGUAAGUUAAUACCUUGCUGUUUUGACGUUACCGACAGAAUAAGCACCGGCUAACUUCGUGCCAGCAGCCGCGGUAAUACGAAGGGUGCAAGCGUUAAUCGGAAUUACUGGGCGUAAAGCGCGCGUAGGUGGUUUUGUAAGUUGGAGGUGAAAUCCCCGGGCUCAACCUGGGAACUGCCUCCAAAACUGCAUGACUAGAGUACGGUAGAGGGUAGUGGAAUUUCCUGUGUAGCGGUGAAAUGCGUAGAUAUAGGAAGGAACACCAGUGGCGAAGGCGACUACCUGGACUGAUACUGACACUGAGGUGCGAAAGCGUGGGGAGCAAACAGGAUUAGAUACCAGUAGUCC
rnacentral:rRNA from 1 species